UACGGAAGGCAGCAGUGGGGAAUAUUGCACAAUGGGCGAAAGCCUGAUGCAGCUAUGCCGCGUGUAUGAAGAAGGCCUUAGGGUUGUAAAGUACUUUCAUCGGGGAGGAAAAACAAAACUAAUAAUUUUAUUUCUUGACGUUACCCGAAAAAGAAGCACCGGCUAACUCCGUGCCAGCAGCCGCGGUAAUACGGAGGGUGCUAGCGUUAAUCAGAAUUACUGGGCGUAAAGAGCACGUAGGUGGUUUUUUAAGUCAGAUGUGAAAUCCCUGGGCUUAACCUAGGAACUGCAUUUUGAAACUGAAAUACUAGAGUAUCGUAGAGGGAGGUAGAAUUCUAGGUGUAGCGGUGAAAUGCGUAGAAUAUCUGGAGGAAUACCUGUGGCGAAAGCGGCCUCCUAAACGAAUACUGACACUGAGGUGCGAAAGCGUGGGGAGCAAACAGGAUUAGAUACC
rnacentral:rRNA from 1 species